GACGAACGCUGGCGGCGUGCCUAAUACAUGCAAGUAGGACGCAGUUGCGAACGGGUGAUUAACGCGUAGGUAACUGCCUAUUAGAGGGGGAUAACUAUUGGACACGAUAGCUAAUACCGCAUACUAGUAGCUGGACCUGCUUUGUAUUAGCUAGUAGGUAGGGUAAUGGCCUACCAAGGCGACGAUACAUAGCCGACCUGAGAGGGUGAUCGGCCACACUGGGACUGAGACACGGCCCAGACUCCUACGGGAGGCAGCAGUGGGGAAUAUUGCACAAUGGGCGAAAGCCUGAUGGAGCCAUGCCGCGUGUAUGAAGAAGGCCUUCGGGUCGUAAAGUACUUUCAGUGGGGAGGCGGUACCCGCAGAAGAAGCACCGGCUAACUCCGUGCCAGCAGCCGCGGUAAUUC
rnacentral:rRNA from 1 species